CCAGAGAUUUCCGAAUGGGGAAACCCAGCAUGAGUUAUGUCAUGUUAUCGAUAUGUGAAUACAUAGCAUAUCAGAAGGCACACCCGGAGAACUGAAACAUCUUAGUACCCGGAGGAAGAGAAAGAAAAUUCGAUUCCCUUAGUAGCGGCGAGCGAAACGGGAAGAGCCCAAACUAACAAGCUUGCUUGUUGGGGUUGUAGGACACUCUAUACGGAGUUACAAAGGACGACAUUAGACGAAUCAACUGGAAAGAUGAAUCAAAGAAGGUAAUAAUCCUGUAGUCGAAAAUGUUGUCUCUCUUGAGUGGAUCCUGAGUACGACGGAGCACGUGAAAUUCCGUCGGAAUCUGGGAGGACCAUCUCCUAAGGCUAAAUACUCUCUAGUGACCGAUAGUGAACCAGUACCGUGAGGGAAAGGUGAAAAGAACCCCGGAAGGGGAGUGAAAUAGAACCUGAAACCGUGUGCUUACAAGUAGUCAGAGCCCGUUAAUGGGUGAUGGCGUGCCUUUUGUAGAAUGAACCGGCGAGUUACGAUUUGAU
rnacentral:rRNA from 1 species